UACGUAGGGUGCAAGCGUUAAUCGGAAUUACUGGGCGUAAAGCGUGCGCAGGCGGUUCUAUAAGACAGAUGUGAAAUCCCCGGGCUUAACCUGGGAACUGCGUUUGAAACUACAAGGCUAGAGUGUGGCAGAGGGGGUGGAAUUCCGACGUGUAGCAGUGAAAUGCGUAGAGAUGUGGAGGAACACCGAUGGCGAAGGCAGCCCCCUGGGUUAACACUGACGCUCAGGCACGAAAGCGUGGGAGCAAACAGG
rnacentral:rRNA from 1 species